UUCUUCUUCUCUCAUCUAAACCUCUGUGUCCAUGUGGUCGAUGAAAUAUCUCCUUACCAAACAUCCAACCCCGGAAUCACAUAAUUCUUCUCAUCCACAAGAACUAAAAGAAGACCAGUACCCCUUCUUUUGAUGAAUCACAAGGAACUAGGAUUUUGUUUAUACCUUGGGAGCACCUACAAACAUGAAAUCUGUUGUUUAUUCAAUUUGGAUUGGAUAACACAUCUAUCCUCAUCUUCUUCAAUGGCCAAGGGCAAUGAACGGUUCACGCAUGAACUUUUAAUAUCUGAGAUUUCUUAUUGUACUUCUUGGUAACAUACAUGACAACAUCACCUGUAGUAGGUUUUAUAAGAGACACUAAUUCAGAUUGACAUUCAAGAAGGAGCAGCUAAUUGGAAUGAAAUUCGGGAUAAGUUUGAAGAUGGAGGUAAACAAAAAAAAAAACCAAAUCACUAUAUAUAUUGUCAGGUUGAUCCCGUUUUCAAUAGGAUUAGUUCUAUUACUUGGUUGGAUCGUCUUUUAUGCCAUUAUAGUUCUCUGUUGUUUGCCAAUAAUUUGUAUUCAGAUUGUUAAGCUCCUUUUGGUUUUAUAGAUGUUGAACAACUAAUCCUUGAUUAUAUGGUUAUUUUUUGAAAU